rnacentral:rRNA from 1 species
AAUCAACGCUGGCGGCGUGCCUAACACAUGCAAGUCGAGCGAGAAAGUGGAGCAAUCCAUGAGUAAAGCGGCGACCGGGUGAGUAACACGUGACUAACCUACCUUCGAGUGGGGAAUAACUCCGGGAAACCGGGGCUAAUACCGCAUAACAUCGAAAGAUCAAAGCAGCAAUGCGCUUGAAGAGGGGGUCGCGGCUGAUUAGCUAGUUGGCGGGGUAACGGCCCACCAAGGCGAAGAUCGGUAUCCGGCCUGAGAGGGCGCACGGACACACUGGAACUGAAACACGGUCCAGACUCCUACGGGAGGCAGCAGUGGGGAAUUUUGCGCAAUGGGGGAAACCCUGACGCAGCAACGCCGCGUGGAGGAUGGAGCCCCUUGGGGCGUAAACUCCUUUCGACCAAGACGAUAAUGACGGUACUGGUGGAAGAAGCACCGGCUAACUCUGUGACAG